GUGAGGAAUAUUGCGCAAUGGAGGCAACUCUGACGCAGCCAUGCCGCGUGCAGGAAGAAGGCGCUACGCGUUGUAAACUGCUUUUAACCGGGAAGAAACCCCAGGACGUGUCCUGGGUUGACGGUACCGGAGGAAUAAGCACCGGCUAACUUCGUGCCAGCAGCCGCGGUAAUACGAAGGGUGCAAGCGUUAUCCGGAUUCAUUGGGGUUAAAGGGUGCGUAGGCGGAGCGUUAAGUCAGUGGUGAAAUCCUGCAGCUUAACUGUAGACUUGCCAUUGAUACUGGCGCUCUUGAGUGAGCUGGAAGUGGGCGGAAUGUGCCGUGUAGCGGUGAAAUGCUUAGAUAUGGCACAGAACACCAAUUGCGAAGGCAGCUCACUAAGGCGAUACUGACGCUGAGGCACGAAAGCGUGGGGAUCGAACAGGAUUAGAAACCCCAGUAGUCC
rnacentral:rRNA from 1 species